rnacentral:rRNA from 1 species
CUUGUACACACCGCCCGUCAAGUCACGGGAGUUGGUUUUACCCGAAAUCUCUGACUCAACCCGCAAGGGAGAGAGGAGCCUAAGGUGAGGCCGAUGACUGGGACU